rnacentral:rRNA from 1 species
UGUGGUUUAAUUCGAUGAUACGCGAGAACCUUCUGGCUUAAAUGUAGAGUGCUAUUUUUUUAGAGAUAGAAAUUCCUUCGGGGCUUUCUGCAAGGUGCUGCAUGGUUGUCGUCAGCUCGUGCCGUGAGGUGUCGGGUUAAGUCCCAUAACGAGCGCAGCCCUCGCUGUGUGUUAUAUGUGUCACACAGGACUGCUGGUAUUAAGCCGGAGGAAGUGGGACGACGUCAAGUCAGCAUGACCUUUAUAUCCAGGGCUACACACACGCUACAAUGGUCAGUACAAUGGGUUGCCAAGCCGCGAGGCGGAGCCAAUCCUAAAAAGCUGGCCUCAGUUCAGAUUGCAGUCUGAAACUCGACUGCAUGAAGUCGGAGUUGCUAGUAAACGCAGGUCAGCUAUACUGCGUUGAAUACGUUCCCGGGGCUU